AUAUUAUUAAGUGGAGGAAAAGAAACCAAAAGGGAUUCCCCCAGUAGCGGCGAGCGAAAAGGGAUCAGCCCAAAGCCGAAUCCCGCGUCCCUUGGGCGCCGGGAAAUGUGGCGUAUGGGAAAGUUCUAGCAGCGCGUCGAAGGCGGCUCAAGUUUCCAUGAACGGAGCCCUUGACCAAAGCGGGUGACAGUCCCGUACAGUCGYUCUUUUUUCGCGCUGCGUUGGACUCUUCCCGGGAGUCGGGUUGCUUGAAAGUGCAGCCCAAAGUGGGUGGUAUGCUCCACCUAAGGCUAAAUAUUCCCGAGAGACCGAUAGCAAAAAAGUACCGUGAGGGAAAGUUGAAAAGAACUUUGAAGAGAGAGUUCAAUAGUACGUGAAACCGCUUAGAGGUAAACGGGUGGGCCCUCGAAGUCUGAAGACAGAUCGGUUCAGCCGGGACCCCUUCUCCGCUCUUAAAAGCGCGCGGGCGAACGAGUCGCCUCUCGCCAUUAGAGACGAGGGCAAGGGGUCCUAGCCAAUUUCUUUUCUGUCCGUAAGAGGCCGCGACUGGUUGGUCGACCUUCGGAAGGACUGUUCACGAGUAGGUGGCCUACCGAUUAACGUCGGUAGGUGUUUACAAUCGAGUUCAGUAUAGCUGAGGGUUCGAACCGACUUGGGACGAGAGCAACCUCGCACGGCGUUCCCUCCGAACGGAGUGACCUUAGGUGCGUCCGCCCUUCUUUUCAAGAAAGUGAUACACUUGCGUGUGCCUAGCUUGGAAGGUUGGCGGACCAACCGUGGUCACAGGGAUAGCCAGGGGUCUGCGGCCAGUAGAUCGGGUCCCACCCGACCCGUCUUG
rnacentral:rRNA from 1 species